rnacentral:lncRNA from 1 species
UAGUCAUAAGCCGGGAUAAGCUUUGUACUACCUCUUUGUUUUCUUUGUUUUCUUUAUAGUUGAAGAGUAAUGGAUAGUUUCUAAAUAUUGUGAAAUAAAUUUUUGGAAUAAAUGAGAGAUUGAUUUAUGAGAUAUUGAGUAUGUAAUUGAAGUAUUGUGUGAUUGAAUUAUUAUGAGAAGAUAUUGGAAGUUUUUUAUCAGAUUUUGUAGAAGAUUGAUUCUGGAUAGAAGAUUAUGAUUGUUGUUAAUUGAGAGUUGUGUGUAUUUUGACGAAAGAAGUCUGUGAUUACAAAAAUUAUGU